rnacentral:rRNA from 1 species
CCUACGGGUGGCAGCAGUGAGGAAUAUUGGACAAUGGACGCAAGUCUGAACCAGCCACGCCGCGUGCAGGAUGACGGCUCUAUGAGUUGUAAACUGCUUUUGUACGAGGGUAAACCCCGAUACGUGUAUCGGGUUGAAAGUAUCGUACGAAUAAGGAUCGGCUAACUCCGGGCCAGCAGCCGCGGGAAUAAGGAGGAUCCGAGCGUUGUCCGGAUUUCUUGGGUGUAAAGGUUGCGUAGGCGGUUUGAUAAGUUAGAGGUGAAAUGUCGGGGCUCAACCCCGAAACUGCCUCUAAUACUGUUAGACUAGAGAAUAGUUGCGGAAGGCGGAAUGUAUGGUGUAGCGGUGAAAUGCUUAGAGAUCAUACAGAACACCGAUUGCGAAGGCAGCUUACCAAACUAUAUCUGACGUUGAGGCACGAAAGCGUGGGUAGCAAACAGGAUUAGAUACCCUGGUAGUC